AAACACCCUCACAGACACACCCAGAAUAUGGUGGAUGUCUGGGACUCCCCCCCCGCCCCCGGCCCCGGGCGCCCCUGGUUGACAUUCCAUACGUGCACUAUAAGCGUAUCCCCCGUCUCACCUCAUUACUCCUCACGCCACCCUGCGGGGUAGGUGCCACCGUUCACAGGUAAGGGUCUAGGUAUAGAGGGUUAGCUAUGCAGCUGAGAAGUGGCUGCCGUGGGGUUCCACACAGAGCCACCCCACAACCUGCUGGAGUUCAGGCUGGUCUGGAAAUUCCUCGGGGAGUCAGCUCCGCUUCCCCAGUCCACCGGCCCCACAGCCAAACUAACCGCGAAGAAUUCCUUCGCUCUCCCCUCCUCUUUGGUGUCCACCAUGGCCUUCUCCGCUGCCUGGGGACCAGCCACCGGGCGCGGAGGACCCGCAGCGCGCGCGGCGCCCGCACCUCCCAGUGUGAAUGGCGCAGCGCCGCCCGGUUCGCGUCGCUCAGACGCCCGGGCCUCGCGGGACCCACACUCCGGGCGGACGGGUCGGUGGUGAGUUCAGCCUCCGUCCGGUGAGUGUGCGGACCCCGGGCCGCGGACCGGGCCGCCCGGCAGCACGCGCUCCCGCCGCCUGGGUCAGUGCGCGCCGCCUCUGAGCCGCGCAAACCACAGCCUCGGGGCCUCCGCGCAUCGCCCCCGAUUGUGCCGUGUGUGCCCGCGAUCACCUCUCCGCCGUCCUCCCGUUCAACCAGAGAACACGAGUGCAGCAUCUACUCACCCUUGAGCCUGCCGCAUGAAGAAGCAGUGUGUGGUCUGGACCAUCAGCAGAACUAACUUCACCGUCCUCCAGAAAUGCGGAACUCGGUGGGCAUGCUGCUGUGACCACAUCUUGGAUACACCUGGCCAGGCAGGUGACAUCUGAGUUCAGAAUCUCCUUAUAUCUGAAUACAAGUCCAAUCUGAA
rnacentral:lncRNA from 1 species